rnacentral:rRNA from 1 species
UACAGAGGGUGCGAGCGUUAAUCGGAGUGACUGGGCGUAAAGGGCGCGUAGGCGGUUUUAUAAGUGAGAUGUGAAAGGCCUGGGCUUAACCUAGGAACGGCAUCUUAGACUAUAGGACUAGAGUGCAGUAGAGGGUGGCGGAAUUUCCGGUGUAGCGGUGAAAUGCGUAGAGAUCGGAAGGAACACCAGUGGCGAAGGCGGCCACCUGGACUGUCACUGACGCUGAGGCGCGAGAGCGUGGGUAGCAAACAGG